AAAGCAAAUCUCUCUAAUCAGGAAAUCACACACAUGUACAAAGAAGAUGCAUCUACAGAAAAAAUUUGAGAGGUCCUCAGAAUCUCUAGCGGGCUGAUUGGUGAAGGUGUUCCCUCCUACAAAACCAGUUUGUAAAGACUGGGAGAAGUACUUGAUUUUAAGUGUACAAAUCAUAGCCAAAAAUAAGAAAACACACAAAGAAGCAGGGAAACAUGGUCCAAUAAAGGAAGAAAAUAAAUCUCCAUAAAAUAACCCUAAAGAAACAGCAAUGCAUGAAUUAUCUAACAAAGAAUGCAAAAUAAUUGUCUUAAAGAAGACCAAGGCACCACAAGAGAACACCAAUAGACAAGUAGAUGAAAUCAGGAAAACAAUGCAUGUGUAAGAUGACAAUAAACAAAAAGAAAUUAUUUUUAAAGAGAUCCAAUAGCUCUUUUUGUGGCGCCUCGGAGGCAAUCAGCUGCUUCACGAUGAAGCUGAAUAUCUCCUUCCCAGCCACUGGCUGCCAGAAACUCAUUGAAGUGGACGAUGAACACAAACUUCGUACUUUCUAUGAGAAGCGUAUGGCCACGGAAGUUGCUGCCGACGCUCUGGGUGAAGAAUGGAAGGGUUAUGUGGUCCGAAUCAGUGGUGAGAACGACAAGCAAGGUUUCCCCAUGAAGCAGGGUGUCUUGACCCAUGGCUGUGUUCGCCUGCUACUGAGUAAGGGGCAUUCCUGUUACAAACCAAGGAGAACUAGAGAAAGAAAGUGCAAAUCUGUUCGUGGUUGUAUUGUGGAUGCCAACCUGAGUGUUCUCAACUUGGUUAUUGUAAAAAAAGGGGAGAAGGAUAUCCCUGGACUGACUGAUACUACAGUACCUCGUCGUCUGGGGCCCAAAAGAGCUAGCAGAAUCCGCAAACUCUUCAAUCUGUCUAAAGAAGAUGAUGUUCGCCAGGAGGUUGUGAGGAAGCCCUUAAAUAAAGAAGGUAAGAAACCUAGGACCAAAGCACCCAAGAUUCAGCGACUUGUAACUCCACGUGUCCUGCAACAUAAACGCCGGCGUAUUGCUCUGAAGAAGCAGCACGCUAAGAAAAAUAAGGAAGAGGCUGCAGAAUAUGCUAAACUUUUGGCUAAGAGAAUGAAGGAGGCCAAAGAAAAGCACCAGGAACAGAUUGCCAAGAGACGUAGGCUGUCCUCUCUGAGAGCAUCUACUUCUAAGUCUGAGUCGAGCCAAAAAUAAGAUUUUUUGAGUUAAAUAAUAAAUAAGACCAUAUCC